rnacentral:rRNA from 1 species
AUUGAACGCCGGCGGCAGGCCUAACACAUGCAAGUCGAGCGGAUGAAGGGAGCUUGCUCCUGGAUUCAGCGGCGGACGGGUGAGUAAUGCCUAGGAAUCUGCCUGGUAGUGGGGGAUAACGUCCGGACACGGGCGCUAAUACCGCAUACGUCCUGAGGUAGAAAGUGGGGGAUCUUCGGACCUCACGCUAUCAGAUGAGCCUAGGUCGGAUUAGCUAGUUGGUGGGGUAAAGGCCUAACAAGGCGGCUAACCGGAACUGGUCUGAGAGGGUGAUCAGUCACACUGGCAGUGAGACACGGUCCAGACUCAUACGGGAGGCAGCAGUGGGGAAUAUUGGACUAUGGGCGAAAGCCUGAUCCAGACAUGCCGCGUGUGUGAAGAAGGUCUGCGGAUUGUAAAGCACUUUAAGUUGGGAGGAAGGGCAGUAAGUUAAUACCUUGCUGUUUUGACGUUACAAACAGAAUAAGCACCGGCUAACUUCG